CCCAAAGUGUCUGUACUAUUUUGUAUUCUCACCAGCUAUGAAUGAGAGUUUCUAUUGUUCUAUGUACUUGCCAGCAUAUGGUGAUUACAGCCUUCUGGAUUUUGGCCAUUCUAAUAGGCAGCCAUGCUCUGUCACACAAGAGUUGAAGCCAUGCCCUGUCACAUGGAGCCAUGCCCUAUCACUCAGGAGUUCACUCAUCAUGGAGCCAUGCCCUGUCACAUAAAAGUUCACUCAUCACAAAGAAAAUGCUUUGAUAUCAGGAUGAUGCUGGCCUCAUAAAAUGAAUUAAGGAGGAUUCCCACUUUUUGUAUUGAUUGGAAUAGUUUCAGAA